AUUUGGGAUCCUCUGGCAACAAUAGCAGCUGGUCUUGUAACACGUAGAACGACAAGUUGAGACAUAUGGCACUGACAUUAGCAUAAUUUUUAUUAGAUUAAUCUUGAUUCUUGAAUAUCAUCUAUUAUAAGCAUUUAGGUUUGACCGUCUGAGGUUUGGACUGGGGCAGCUUUCUUAUCAUCCGUUCAACCCUGCUAUUCAGAUAUUUCCUCCC
rnacentral:lncRNA from 1 species